GGAUAGAAGUGGGUAUGGGAAGAUGAGGGUUAAUUGGCCGGAGGAGGGCAGUACAGUAGAGAGGGUGCAUCGGGUAGCUCUUAUGGUAGAGAAGAGACAGACUAGGUCGCAGUUUGCAGUUGCAGGCCUGGAGGUCAGUCAUCUCUGCCAUAAGAAGUUAUGCAUUGACCCGAUGCACCUUACUCUGGAGCCGCACGCCACAAACCAGGAGAGGAUCCACUGCAAGGACCAGGGGUUUUGUUGUGGGGCUCACCACCCUAGAUGCAUUUUUUAAAGUAAUUUAAAAUAUGUAUUUCUUGAAUAUUAACUUGUUAAUUUCCUGUUUUCGAAUAAUUGUGUUCAGGGGGCUUUCUUUUAUUACCUCGGGCUCGAGAUUCAGCUAACAUCAUGUUUUUCUUAUAUUUUACUUCUUCCUGAUGUUUUUCGUAAAGUUUAUAUAAUUUCUUACGUUUAAUUACCCUUUUUGUUUUAUACGAUUGACUUUUCUGAUACGAUUUAUUUAAUUCAUGCUCAUUUUGUAUUUCAUUCAGAGUCUGGUCCACUUGGCCACCAGUGGGGAUGGGGGCACCAACCCCUGCACAGAGGCUUCGGAGCGAGCUGCCCGGACCGUGAUUUGAUGAGUGAGCUGCACUGUGCGCCCGACCAUUAAAGUUUCUUGUGAAAGUAACAUUUCGGGGCAGGGAUCGCCGCAGAGUUCUGUUGAAGCUUUCGACCUUUUGCGAGUUGGUGUUUUUGAUCGUCCUGUCCAGUACAGCUGGAGACAACCUCUUAGAGAUGCAGGCAUGGAGCCUUGCCUCAUUUUCCGCGGAAGACGCAGACCGUCCUUAUAGAGGGAAUCUGCAGCUCGACCGGCAGAGCUGUCCGGGUCAGUGGUUACCUCCCUUACCUCGAGGCCAUCUUUGCAGAGGAGUUCCGCCAUCCCCUCCCGAGCCCAAGUGAACUCAUCCCCAAUGGUAUGGUGCAUUGGUAGAUUUGCCCCACACACCCCAGGACUGCAGUGGUGGUUAGCAGUGCCCUCAUCCAAGACUUUCGCGUAGGAGGGGGAGU